UCCGUAGGGGGCAAGCGUUGUCCGGAUUUAUUGGGCGUAAAGAGCGUGUAGGCGGCUUGGUAGGUCCGCUGUGAAAACUCGAGGCUCAACCUCGAGACGCCGGUGGAAACCAUCAGGCUAGAGUCCGGAAGAGGAGAGUGGAAUUCCUGGUGUAGCGGUGAAAUGCGCAGAUAUCAGGAAGAACACCCGUGGCUAAGGCGGCUCUCUAGUACGGUACUGACGCUGAGACGCGAAAGCGUGGGGAGCGAACAGG
rnacentral:rRNA from 1 species